GACGAACGCUGGCGGCGUGCUUAACACAUGCAAGUCGAACGCUGAAGCUUGGUGCUUGCACUGGGUGGAUGAGUGGCGAACGGGUGAGUAAUACGUGAGUAACCUGCCCUUGACUCUGGGAUAAGCCUGGGAAACUGGGUCUAAUACUGGAUACGACAUGCCACUGCAUGGUGGUGUGUGGAAAGGGUUUUACUGGUUUUGGAUGGGCUCACGGCCUAUCAGCUUGUUGGUGGGGUAAUGGCCUACCAAGGCGACGACGGGUAGCCGGCCUGAGAGGGUGACCGGCCACACUGGGACUGAGACACGGCCCAGACUCCUACGGGAGGCAGCAGUGGGGAAUAUUGCACAAUGGGCGGAAGCCUGAGGCAGCGACGCCGCGUGAGGGAUGACGGCCUUCGGGUUGUAAACCUCUUUCAGCAAGGAAGAAGCGAGAGUGACGGUACGUGCAGAAGAAGCGCCGGCUAACUACGUG
rnacentral:rRNA from 1 species